rnacentral:tRNA from 1 species
GGCGGGAUAGCUCAGUUGGUUAGAGCGUCGGAUUCAUAACCCGGAGGUCACGAGUUCAAAUCUCGUUCCCGCUACAA